UGCAUGUAUUCAUGACUAAGUCGCUUUGGAUAAAAGCAUCUGCUAAAUGGCAUGUU
rfam:Salmo salar isolate Sally breed double haploid chromosome ssa06, whole genome shotgun sequence.